UACGUAGGGUGCGAGCGUUAAUCGGAAUUACUGGGCGUAAAGCGUGCGCAGGCGGUGAUGUAAGGCAGAUGUGAAAUCCCCGGGCUCAACCUGGGAACUGCAUUUGUGACUGCAUCGCUGGAGUGCGGCAGAGGGGGAUGGAAUUCCGCGUGUAGCAGUGAAAUGCGUAGAUAUGCGGAGGAACACCGAUGGCGAAGGCAAUCCCCUGGGCCUGCACUGACGCUCAUGCACGAAAGCUAGGGGAGCAAACAGG
rnacentral:rRNA from 1 species